rnacentral:lncRNA from 1 species
UGGGGAGUGGUAGACUGGGUGGGGGUGAGGGUAGCGGUGCCUGUGCACUGGUGGAGGAGGGGAAGAGUAUUUGUAUGACUUCUUAGGAGGGGGUGGAGGAGAGUGGUAAACUGGGUGUGGGUGAGGGUAAGGCUUGUGCACUGGUGGUGGGGGAGAUGGGUAUUUGUAUGGCUUCUUUGGUGGUGGAGGUGGUGGGGAGUGGUAGAUUGGGUGAGGGUGAGGGUGAGGGUGUGGGUGAGGGUAAUGGUGAGGAGGGGGUGGAGGAGAUUGGUAGACUGGGUGUGGAUGAGGGUAGGGCUUGUGCACUGGUGGUGGUGGAGAUUGGUAGACUGGGUGUGGAUGAGGGUAGGGCUUGUGCACUGGUGGUGGUGGAGAUGGGUAGUGGUAGGGAGGUGGUGGUGAGGAGACUGGUGGAGGUGGAGGAGAGGAGUAGGAGUAGUGGUUGCCGGAGAUUUGAGAUGGGAGGCUGAAAAGGAUAAUGGCAAAUGCAAGAGUGAUAGAAGCAGAGGCCAUUAGGGACCCCAUUUUCCUCCAACUGAGUUUUGGUUAUGCUCUAAAGUGAG